CACCGCCAUCCCAAUUUUUUUUUUUUUUACCUUUUGAUUACAUUCUUUGUUCCCAUUUCGGCCUAAGAUAUGUUGAUAAGGUUAUCUCGUAUUUUUAGUAUGGUUCCAUGUCUCACACCGUCAUUUCCAUCGGUUUAGAUUGGUAAGAAGGACUAGAGCUUGUCGCAUUUUUUAUUUAUUUUAUUUUGUCUUCUCUUUCAAAUUUUUUAAGUAAUGAUCAUUGUUAUCAAGUUCUAUUGCCUUUCAUUAUUGUUAUUAUUCUUAUGAUUAUUAUGAUUCUUACACUUUUUUCGCACCAUCUUCCUUCUUACGAUCCAUCCAUGCAAUCCAUUAUACUCUCCUGUUGACUUGACCUUUUUUAUUCUACUUCUUCUCUCUUAGUGUUUCUAACGGAUUCAAUGUACGAUCCCUUGCGUAUUCCGGUAUUUCUUUUAUUAAGCACUGUUUUGAAAAAUUGGUUAUUGUAAGCUACGCAGUUUGGUAUCUGAUUUAAGGAUACGUAGAACUGCGGUGAGUUUUCCUUGUGAUCUAUUAUAUUACAAUACACAGGUUGUAUAAGUAGCAACUGAGUAUAGGUAUUGUAUUAACUGGGUUAUAAUGUUACCUAUCACUAAUAUAGCUCAUAACUGAACUGAGGAACGAGAUUCAGUUGUAACGCUAUUUAUAAUAUUUCUAAAUAGUUGUUAUCAACGGGUAUCUAUGUAUAUAGACGGAUAGUUACCCGUGAUUAUCAAUAAACGGAUCUUAGCUAGUAUUCCAACAUAUGGCAUAUAGUGAUACGCAGCGUAGUGUAUCAUAGCGUAGUGUAAUAUUGCUGACAGUUAUUUCAAUUUAAUUCCCUACGUUGCAAUGAUUUUCCCCACCAAAUUUGCUGUUUGUCCCACGCUCAUUUACGUAAGCGAACCAAAUAAGUUUAUUGCGUACAACGCUAUUUCCUUUUCCAUGACGGAAUAGACUUUCUUAAG